rnacentral:rRNA from 1 species
UACAGAGGGUGCGAGCGUUAAUCGGAAUUACUGGGCGUAAAGCGUGCGUAGACGGUAGCGUAAGUCAGAUGUGAAAGCCCCGGGCUCAACCUGGGAACUGCAUUUGAGACUGCUCUGCUCGGGUGCGGAAGAGGGAAGCGGAAUUUCCGGUGUAGCGGUGAAAUGCGUAGAUAUCGGGAGGAACACCUGUGGCGAAAGCGGCUCACUGGACCACAACUGACGCUGAUGCACGAAAGCUAGGGGAGCAAACAGG